rnacentral:ncRNA from 1 species
AACCGCCGUAUACCGAUCGGUACGUACGGUGGUGUGAGAGGACAGGUAGGGAAUUAAUCCCUACCUUCCUACUCGAU